rfam:Gossypium hirsutum cultivar TM-1 chromosome 11, whole genome shotgun sequence
AUUCCGUGAUGAAGGCACUUCUGUAAUAAUUCUUUGUACCUUUCGCAUGCCUCAUACAAGGACUCAUCAUCCAUUUUUUGGAAAGCAGAGAUCUAAUUGCUCAACUU